AUACGGAGGGUGCAAGCGUUACUCGGAAUCACUGGGCGUACAGCGCGCGCAGGCGGUCUUUUAAGUUGGAUGUGAAAGCCUACGGCUCAACCGUAGAACUGCAUCCAAAACUAUUAGACUAGAGUGUGGGAGAGGAAGAUGGAAUUAGUUGUGUAGGGGUAAAAUCCGUAGAGAUAACUAGGAAUACCAAAAGCGAAGGCAAUCUUCUGGAACACUACUGACGCUGAGGCGCGAAAGCGUGGGGAGCAAACAGGAUUAGAAACCCCAGUAGUCC
rnacentral:rRNA from 1 species